AUCCUUUUGUAGUUCAUAAGCGUGAUGAUUGGGUUUUCCUGUGCCUGUGUGCGAUGUGCCUCCCACCAAUCUUGUUAGGCCCUCGGCACAUUACCUGUCUGACA
ensembl:snoRNA